UACGUAGGGGGCGAGCGUUGUCCGGAUUUAUUGGGCGUAAAGAGCGUGUAGGCGGCCAGGUAGGUCUGCUGUGAAAACUCGAGGCUCAACCUCGAGAUGCCGGCGGAAACCAUUUGGCUAGAGUCCGGAAGAGGAGAGUGGAAUUCCUGGUGUAGCGGUGGAAUGCGCAGAUAUCAGGAAGAACACCCGUGGCGAAGGCGGCUCUCUGGGACGGUACUGACGCUGAGACGCGAAAGCGUGGGGAGCAAACAGG
rnacentral:rRNA from 1 species